GCUUUUUUUUUUUUUUUUUUUGAGACGAAGUUUCACUCUUGUCACCCAGGCUGUAGUGCAAUGGUGCGAUCUCGGCUCACUACAACUUCCAACUCCCAGGUUCAAGCGAUUCUCCUGCCUCAGCCUCCUGAGUAGCUGGAACUACAGGCACCUGCCACCACGCCCAGCUAAAUUUUUUUUUUUUUUUUGAGACGGAGUUUCACUCUUGUCACCCAGGCUGGAAUGCAAUGGCGCGAUCUCAACUCACCGCAACCUCUGCCUCCCAGGUUCAAGCGAUUCUCCUGCCUCAGCCUCCCAAGUAGCUGGGAUUACAGGCACAAGCCAUCAUGCCUGGUUGAUUUUUGUAUAGACGGGGUUUCGCCAUGCUGCCCAGGCCAGUCUCAAACUCCUGAGCUCAAGCAAUCUGCCCACACCUCGGCCUCCCAAAGUGCUGGGACUGUGGAUGUGAGCUCCCCUGCCCGGCCAAAAGUUUAAAAAUAAAGAAAAGAAUGAGGCAGAAAAACAUAACCAAUAUACGCAAUCUCCAAAAUAACAGGUGAAGCCCAGGUACCACAGGCUGAAUGGCUGUGCACUCUGGUCCUGUCUAUGGAAGAAUUCACACAGCCUUGGAUCUCAGCCCACAGGUGCGCAGGACCCCAGGAAAGCUUGCAAAAUGGCUGUGGGGGCAGGGGGAGCAUCUCAUUAAAGGGACAAGAAAAAGCCAUCAUCGGGGUGGAGAAUGAUUUAAAUGGCCUUGGGGAAUUGCCGCAAGCUCUGUAUCCCUCAUAGCCUUACCACAAGGACAGGAGUCCUGGGUUUCUCAGGCCUCCUGAUUUCAAAAGUUCCCUCCCCAACUCUUGUUGAUACCCUCAGCCAGCUGGGGGUCCCAAAGUGGGCUUGAAAAAUGUUUAGACGAGGGCCUUGUCCUCCCCUACCCUCUGCCCAAGAGGGACAGCGCUGUUAUCCCAGAUUCAGGCCCUGGAGCCCAUCCCCACUGGCUGGGCAGUCUGAGUUUGGCUUGGGCCAGCAGAGCCCCCGGGUGCUCCAGCCCAACUUUGGCCAUGCUGCCUAAGAGCGUCUUGCUAAACAGACGGCCUGGAGUCCUAGACCCUUGUGGGAACUGGAGCCUGUGCCAGCCUGGGGGCCCGGAUCUCCUUCCUCCCAGUGCGGGGCCUAAUCACUCAUGGUCAGCAGGAGGCCUGCAGAGGGAGAGACGAGAUUGGCCCUCCAAUCCCUGCCUCUGGGAAAGGUGGCUGGGGCCAGGUUCUGGAGAAAGGACCUGGAGCUUCCAGGAAAGUUUAGGAAGCAGAGGGGGGACCCCUUGCCCUGCCAAUUCAGACCACUCUCACGAGUUGGGGCCAGAAUAAUUAAGCGGCUUCCUCUGGCGCCUACUCUGAGGGGUCGGUAAUGAUGUCCAGCACUGUGAUGAGGAGGAUUCUGAGGCACCGUCCAUGAUUGAAGGAAGGAGCUCCUUGGAGAUGUUGCCACCUUCGCCACAGUAGAGGACGGGUAGUGUGCAGAUGUCUGCCACCCUGGAGGUAGGGUCUCUCCUUCCCCCAAGUUCUAUGCAUGAUCUCAAGUAUAGAGGGGUGGGGAGGUGUUAUCAGGAGAAUGAUUCAUAGUAUUGCUCUCAUUACGGUACAGCUCCCAGUCAUGGAGCACCCACUUUCAGCCAGGCACUUCAUAGAUGCUGCCCUGUAGUAAUCCUGAAAUGCUAAGAGAAUCGGCAAGGGCACGCAUCUUGCCGAUCUCUGAACAUUUGCUUAAUGGGGGCUGGGCAUCAUGAUCCCAUUUUACAGCUGGAACAACUGAGACUCCAAGCACCUGCCAAGGCCCCACGCUGGUAGGAGUGGGCCCCAAACCUGGGUGCCCUCUCGAAGGUACCCUCAAAGCCAGGGCCUGGCCUCCCGCUGCCUCUCCUAAGCCCCCACUCCAGGCCUGAGCUCCCCUGCUGAUGGGGGGCAGGGGACACGCCAUCUGUCUGCAGAGGCAGGGGUGCCACUGGGGGGGACAUGCCACCCCCACAGGCAGUGGACGGGGCCUCCCUGCAUCCGUUACUUGCCCCCUGCCCAGACUCUGCCCACCGCACAGCAGUGAUAGAUAGUUUGUGAAAUACCCUGAGCUUGCGGUUGACCAGAAUUCUGAAAUAAUUCCAUUGAGACCGGAAUUCAUGCAAUGUUCUGUAUCCUGAUGUGGUAAAGCAGGCUGCCCGCGGGGGCGCAAGGGGAUGUGAAGGCCUGGGGAUGGUGAGGCAGCCUCCAGGCCCUGCAGCAGGGGCUUCUGCCACCCCCCCUCGCCCACGGGCUCCGGAAGGCCCAUCUGACAGGAGCAGGGCCCUGAUAAGCACCACCUGACCAGGAGGCCCCCGGCAGAGAGAUUAAUGCACAAAUUGUCAACAACCUCCCCAUGCUGUACCCCCGCAGAGGAGCAGGGCGGGGGGGCACUGGGAAAGGAAGGACAGAG
rnacentral:lncRNA from 1 species